rnacentral:rRNA from 1 species
GACGAACCACACGAACGUUAUUCGGAAUCACUGGGCUUAAAGGGUGCGUAGGCGGCGCGGAAAGUAGGGUGUGAAAUCCCUCGGCUUAACCGAGGAAUAGCGCUCUAAACUACCGUGCUCGAGGGAGAUAGAGGUGAGCGGAACUUAGGGUGGAGCGGUGAAAUGCGUAGAGAUCGGAAGGAACGCCGGUGGCGAAAGCGACACGCUGGACCUCUUCUGACGCUGAGGCGCGAAAGCCAGGGGAGCAAACGGG